rnacentral:rRNA from 1 species
GAUGAACGCUGGCGGCGUGCCUAAUACAUGCAAGUCGAGCGAACAGAUGAGGAGCUUGCUCCUCUGACGUUAGCGGCGGACGGGUGAGUAACACGUGGAUAACCUACCUAUAAGACUGGGAUAACUUCGGGAAACCGGAGCUAAUACCGGAUAAUAUAUUGAACCGCAUGGUUCAAUAGUGAAAGACGGUUUUGCUGUCACUUAUCGAUGGAUCCGCGCCGCAUUAGCUAGUUGGUAAGGUAACGGCUUACCAAGGCAACGAUGCGUAGCCGACCUGAGAGGGGGAUCGGCCACACUGGAACUGAGACACGGUCCAGACUCCUACGGGAGGCAGCAGUAGGGAAUCUUCCGCAAUGGGCGAAAGCCUGACGGAGCAACGCCGCGUGAGUGAUGAAGGUCUUCGGAUCGUAAAACUCUGUUAUUAGGGAAGAACAAAUGUGUAAGUAACUACGCACGUCUUGACGGUACCUAAUCAGAAAGCCACGGCUAACUACGUG